UGGCAGGUAAGACAGCACUUGUGGAG
rnacentral:piRNA from 1 species